UACGAGGGGGGCAAGCGUUGUUCGGAAUUAUUGGGCGUAAAGGGCGCGUAGGCGGCGCGGUAUGUCUCUUGUGAAAUCUCCAGGCUCAACUUGGAGUCUGCAAGGGAAACUGCCGUGCUUGAGUACUGGAGAGGAGAGUGGAAUUCCCGGUGUAGCGGUGAAAUGCGCAGAUAUCGGGAAGAACACCCGUGGCGAAGGCGGCUCUCUGGGACGGUACUGACGCUGAGACGCGAAAGCGUGGGGAGCGAACAGG
rnacentral:rRNA from 1 species